GUGCUAAUUAAAAUACAGUACACUAUUUGAAUCACUAACAGAAAUCAUCUGCCUAUAUCUGCAUCGGAAUAAAACAGAAUGUCUUGAAAAAGGACAAUCAGGAUUGUUCAAUUAUAAAAUAUUAUGGUUUGAGGUUAUAAGUUAAUUCAAACAUGGCACCCGAAAAUUUCCAGAAAAGAGAUCGAAAGACAAAAUUACAGAAUUGCUUUUGAGAAUAUAAUUGCACGUUUCGAACUAAGAGGUUCAAGAUAUGUUACGGAUAACAAUUUAUUUUUUCAUGUGCAUGUGAAUAUAACGGUACAUACAACAAAUUCAUUAACGUUGAAUGUAAUGUUAUAGCUCAAGUAUAAAAUAACACCAUUUGAUAAGUGAAUAAAAUAAAAAUGAUAUGAGUAUAAUGGCAUUCUAGCAGAUGACGUGAUUAUGAUGUACAAUCAUCACCAUUUUACUGAAUAUAAAUCGUACACUCAUUUGAAUAAGACCUUAUGUAAUUAGUUUGUACUUUAGCUCCAUCUAAUGCGUCCCUCUAACGAUUACUUAUGUUUCGACAAAAGUACCGACAAGUUACGUAAAAACAGAUAACAAAACUAUUAUACAUAUUAAUUGCACCAACAGUCCUAGCUAUUCACAUUGAAAUUAAUUAAUCGUUAAUCUAUCCUUGUUAAGGCGACAAUUACGAGAUCAAUUUUACAGUUCAUCAGAUUACUGAUUAACCCUAAAUAUCUAUAAAAAACCGAGAAGAAGAAAUAUUUUGGAGAUACAUUCGACGUAGGAGAUGAAAAUGAAAAGAUUAUCUAGAAUACAAGUAAAUAAGAAGAUAAGGUUAUUGUGCGUGACUCGAUACUUGACUCUUACGAGUCAUCCAAAACCAAGUUGCUCUGAUAAUUUUCACAAUAAUUUAUAAUAAGUUAUUUCUUUGUCGUAACAGUUAUGUACAUAGAUAUAAUUAUUCUUUUAAACUGCGUCGUUAUGGACCAGUGUAAGGAAAAACACAUCUGUUACAUGAAUAUAAUUGUUUGUUUCUUGAAUCGAAUUCUGUUUAUUAAACUUUGAACAAUUAAUGAUUCAUUUUGGCCUAAUUGUAGGUUAAAUGCUUGGAAUCAAACAGAGGAAAUUAAUUCAAACAAUCAAGUUUAUAUAAUCUUUUCAAUUAUUUAUUAGAGAAAAAUAUUAUUUUCAGAUUUUUUAUCAAGUAUGUAUUUUUGAAUUUUUUUUAUCAAGUAUGUAUUGAGAAAAAGGUUAUGAAAAGAUAAAGAACGAUAUCAUGUAAUUAAUUACUUGCUCUGUGCAAUUCUAAGGCAAUUACAUAAAAUCAUAAUAGAUUCCGUACACAAAAUUUCUAUAGAUUCCAUAACAAUUUUUUAUAAAAAAAUUAUAAUGAUUUGUCACAUUGAUUAUUGUUCCAAGUUGCUCGAUAAUGAAUUUGUCCACCGGAAUAAUUAGCAUUUCACGUAUUUUAUUCUACAGUUAUUCUACAAAUAAGUCAGCUAUUUUUAACUUUCGAAUGGUCCAGUUUUUAAUGAGAAAGGAAAUCGAUUAAUGAUACUUUCUGCCGUGUUUUGAAUCACCACUUUCCAUUCGUGAAUUUGUUUAGUCAAAUAAUUAUCUUCAGAUUUUUCCUUGCGUGUAAUUUCUACGCACUAUUUACAUACAUUAUAUUCUUACAUAUUUACUUUUUCUUCAUGGAAACUUGACGAAAUAAUCCAGCUACUGUUAUUUUCAAA